UGGGGAAUAUUGGGCAAUGGGGGAAACCCUGACCCAGCAACGCCGCGUGAAGGAAGAAGGCUUUCGGGUUGUAAACUUCUUUUAUGUAGGAAGAAACAAAUGACGGUACUACAUGAAUAAGCCACGGCUAACUACGUGCCAGCAGCCGCGGUAAUACGUAGGUGGCAAGCGUUGUCCGGAUUUACUGGGUGUAAAGGGCGCGUAGGCGGGACUAUAAGUCCGGCGUGAAAUCUAGGGGCUCAACCCCUAAACUGCGUUGGAAACUGUAGUUCUUGAGUGAUGGAGAGGCAGGCGGAAUUCCCUGUGUAGCGGUGAAAUGCGUAGAUAUAGGGAGGAACACCAGUGGCGAAGGCGGCCUGCUGGACAUUAACUGACGCUGAGGCGCGAAAGCGUGGGGAGCAAACAGGAUUAGAUACCCGGGUAGUCC
rnacentral:rRNA from 1 species